UACAGAGGGUGCGAGCGUUAAUCGGAAUUACUGGGCGUAAAGCGUGCGUAGACGGUCAAGUAAGUCGGGUGUGAAAGCCCCGGGCUCAACCUGGGAAUUGCAUUCGAGACUGCGUGGCUAGGGUGCGGAAGAGGGAAGCGGAAUUUCCGGUGUAGCGGUGAAAUGCGUAGAUAUAGGAGGAACACCUGUGGCGAAAGCGGCUCACUGGACCAUAACUGACGCUGAUGCACGAAAGCUAGGGGAGCAAACAGG
rnacentral:rRNA from 1 species